CCUACGGGUGGCAGCAGUGAGGAAUAUUGGUCAAUGAGCGAAAGCCUGAACCAGCCAAGUCGCGUGCAGGAUGACGGCCCUCCGGUUUGUAAACUUCUUUUGUAAGGAAGCAAUUGGGUACACGCGUAGGAUUAGAGAGAGUCCCUGCAGAAAAAGCAUCGGCUAACUCCGUGCCAGCAGCCGCGGUAAUACGGAGGAUGCGAGCGUUAUCCGGAUUUAUUGGGUUUAAAGGGUUCGUAGGCGGAAUAUUAAGUAAGCGGUAAAAAUUCGGGGCUCAACCCCGUCGUGCCGUUGAUACUGGUGUUCUUGAGUGGGCUAGAAGUAUGCGGAAUGCGUGGUGUAGCGGUGAAAUGCGUAGAUAUCACGCAGAACUCCGAUUGCGAAGGCAGCAUACCGGCGCCCAACUGACGCUGAAGCACGAAAGCGUGGGGAGCGAACAGGAUUAGAUACCCGUGUAGUC
rnacentral:rRNA from 1 species